UACGAAGGUCCCAAGCGUUAUCCGGAUUUAUUGGGCUUAAAGGGUGCGUAGGCGGCUUAUUAAGUCAGUGGUGAAAGCUCCAUGCUUAACAUGGAAAUUGCCAUUGAUACUGAUGAGCUUGAGUAGAUUUGAAGUGGGCGGAAUGUGUCGUGUAGCGGUGAAAUGCUUAGAUAUGACACAGAACACCGAUUGCGUAGGCAGCUCACUAAACUCUUACCGACGCUGAGGCACGAAAGCAUGGGGAUCAAACAGG
rnacentral:rRNA from 1 species